UAUUGGACAAUGGGCGAAAGCCUGAUCCAGCAAUGCCGCGUGAGUGAUGAAGGCCCUAGGGUUGUAAAGCUCUUUUACCCGGGAAGAUAAUGACUGUACCGGGAGAAUAAGCCCCGGCUAACUCCGUGCCAGCAGCCGCGGUAAUACGGAGGGGGCUAGCGUUGUUCGGAAUUACUGGGCGUAAAGCGCACGUAGGCGGCUUUGUAAGUCAGAGGUGAAAGCCCGGAGCUCAACUCCAGAACUGCCUUUGAGACUGCAUCGCUUGAAUCCAGGAGAGGUCAGUGGAAUUCCGAGUGUAGAGGUGAAAUUCGUAGAUAUUCGGAAGAACACCAGUGGCGAAGGCGGCUGACUGGACUGGUAUGACGCUGAGUGCGAA
rnacentral:rRNA from 1 species